rnacentral:rRNA from 1 species
UGCAUAUCAAUAAGCGGAGGAAAAGAAACUAACCAGGAUUCCCCUAGUAACGGCGAGUGAAGCGGGAAAAGCUCAAAUUUGUAAUCUGGCGCCCUUGGCGUCCGAGUUGUAAUCUCGAGAAGUAUUUUCCGCGCUGGACCGCACAUAAGUCUGUUGGAAUACAGCGUCAUAGUGGUGAGAACCCCGUAUAGGGUGCGGAUGCCCAGUGCUUUGUGAUAUACUUUCGAAGAGUCGAGUUGUUUGGGAAUGCAGCUCAAAUUGGGUGGUAAAUUCCAUCUAAAGCUAAAUAUUGGCGAGAGACCGAUAGCGAACAAGUACCGUGAGGGAAAGAUGAAAAGCACUUUGGAAAGAGAGUUAACAGUACGUGAAAUUGUUGGAAGGGAAACGCUUGAAGUCAGACUUGCAUUUUGGAGUUCAGCCGCAAGGUGUAUUCUUCGAUUCGCAGGCCAGCAUCAGUUUUUGGGGGUGGAAAAGCGUGGUUUGAAGGUAGCAGUCUCGGCUGUGUUAUAGCUUUCCACUGGAUUCACUUUUGGGGACUGAGGAACGCAGUACGCUUUUUGCAAGAUUCUAGGGUCUUUCGUACUUAGGAUGCUGGUGGAAUGGCUUUAAACGACCCGUCUUGAAACACGGACCA